GAAUGAGAUGUAUUAGGUUGAUGCAAAAGUAAUUGCGGCUUUUGCCAUUGAAAGGAAUGGCAAAAACCACAAUUAAUUUUGCACCAACCUAAUAGA
ensembl:miRNA